rnacentral:rRNA from 1 species
UACGUAGGUGGCAAGCGUUGUCCGGAUUUAUUGGGCUUAAAGGGCGCGUAGGCGGUUCUAUAAGUCAGUGGUGAAAUCCGGCAGCUCAACUGUCGAUGUGCCAUUGAUACUGCAGAACUUGAGUACAGACGAGGUAGGCGGAAUUGACGGUGUAGCGGUGAAAUGCUUAGAUAUCGUCAAGAACACCGAUAGCGAAGGCAGCUUACUAGACUGUAACUGACGCUGAUGCACGAAAGUGUGGGGAUCAAACAGG